UGAGUAAUGAUCGAUGAAUGAUUAACCAACGAAUCGUUCUCUCUCCCUCCCUAGCCGCAAAAAAACCUCAAACCUCAAAUUCUUCAUUUUCCACCGCUGCUUAAUCUCUGAACUUCAUUUUCUUCAUCUGUAGAAGAUUGGAUUUUUUUGAUAUCCAUGUCUAACUUAAAUCUGUAGAAGAGAGUUGAAGUUUUUCUUAGGCUUUUCUUUUCUACUUUCAGCUAAAGGUUUCUUAAAUCAAUUUAAUUAAAUUUUAAGUUGAUUUUUAUUGUGUUGAUAAUUUUAGGUCUUCGAUUUGAUUCCAACCGAAUUAACUCUUUCUCUAUUGAAUUAAUUUAACAUCCCACCUACGUUUCAGAGAUAAGAAGAAUGGCAGCGCCACUGAUUGAGCUGUGAAUUCAUGAGCCGGUGAAGAUGGGAGGUUUUUAGUAGAUUUUUUUCUGUCUCAUAUGUUGCUGCAACUGAAACGGAACGAAAGAUGGUUGUGCUUGAACUGUAAAUGUAAAAUUCAGGGAUUAGGUUGAAGAAUAUGUGGUGCUUAGAUGGGUUCGGUUGAAAAUACAGUGAAUAUGUGGUGAUUUAAAACAUUUUAUUUCUUUUAAUUCAUUCACGUCUUACCCACUUCCAAAUCUAAUGUAGUAGAAGUUACACAGACACAAAAAUGGAGGACGAUAUCAUUUCUUUCUCUUCGAACUAUGAUUCACUGUCGUUCUUAAAUUUUUAACAAGGGUUUUAUUUCCUCCAUUUUUAUAUUUUGAUGUAUGGAAUAAUAAUUAGAAGAUGAAUAUCGGAACUAAAUUAGUGUCAGAAAUAUCAUUAUUUCGUUUCCUCCUACAAUUGAAACCCUGACUUCAAACCUAUAAAUCCUUGAUUCAAGGUUUCUGAAAUUCAAGUUCAAGUUGAUUCAAGCUUUGUUAGUGCCUUCGGGAUCUAAACUGUUAAUGCCAAUUCCGUCAAAGGGGAUUUACUAAUGGGGAUUUGUAUCAACAAAUCUGCGCAGUGUUCAAAGAAAAUACCCAGUGACUGAUACAAACCCACCUUUCGAAAAGCGGCUAUGGUAACAUCAGAGAAUGGGGACGGGUUUAUCUACAUUGAUGAAUUUAUUAUGUUAUGGAGCUUUGGGAUUUAUUUAUCUCUCACGUUGAGAUUUCCUUGGUGUUUGCGGAAAACACAAUCAAACAAAUAUCUCCGAGGUGCACAUAUCUUAGCCAAGGGUAACUUACUCAAUGCAUAACUGCUUAAAAUGCCUUCAUUUACAAGUUAUAAGUACAGUUAAUAUACAGCGAUGGCUAAAGAUUAUGGCUUUACUUUUUUCUUGGUGCGAUGAACAUUACUGCCAUACUUAAUCUAUACUUCACUUAUCUCCUUUGAUGGACUAUAAAUUUAUUUAGGCAUUGGUACCUUGUGCUAGGCCACAUCUAAUUAUUUUGCUUUAGCACUACUGUAGUUAGUUAACAUGUCAAAUUCAUCCUUAAUGAAUACAGGAGAUGAAUUCGUAGAAGACCCAAAUACUUUUGCUGCCAAAGACAUGAACCUUUUUGUAGUUAGAACCAGCAGACCUUAACUUUUACAAGAUUGUAAAUAUGCAGAGUGACUGCCUACCAAAUUUGUCCUCCCAACAGAUAAAUCAACGGCUUUGGUUAAUCCUUUCUAAUAUUUGUAAUAUAACUGUUAUUCCCGUAUGAAUUGUUAAGGGCCUCCUUAGCCAGGCCUCAACUUCCUUUUGCAUUAAAUUAGUGCAAAUGUUUUUCUUUUCUGUUUUGUUUGUCAGAGACACAAAAUGUAGAGUUUUACCAUUCUUUUUUUAGUUAUUACGUUCAGGUGGAUUACUUACAUAAGCAUGGACUUGACCAUACUGAGUUAAAGUUAGAAAAUGUGCAUAUAGGUCCAGUGGAGUUAUUAGCCACAAGUGCAUCCUAUUUUAUCCCCGCAAUCCUAGAAAAAUGCCAUAUUUAACAUGACCUUUUUUUGUCAUUAUACUCUCAUCAUUUGAUUUGUUAAAUAGCUGGUACUCCAAGUGAUGCAGUGUUAAAGUGGAUACUGUAUAAGUAGUAUGAUAUUGUCUAUGUGCCAUAUUUGGGGUUUCUAUUGUUGGUAAACUAGCAUGCAGUUAAUGGUCAAACCUUUUAAUAUGAGCCACCCGAGCAAGCAAGACUUUCUUAUAUAAAUUGAAGUACAUGUUCAUCUAGGAUACGUUUUCGAGUUCUUAUGUCAUUUUUAAUCACCAGCUAAAAUAGUUGUGUCGUUUCUCGGGAUUCAUGGGGAGGGUAAAAGUUUAUGUACCUAUGUAUUCGGCUAUGUACUGUAUUUAGCUACAAGAAAGAGAAAAGCGAAUUAACCAUGAAAACUAGAAGUAAGCUUGAUUGAGUCAUCUGCGAAGUCGGCUCAAAGUCAGAAAUUCUUUCAUAACAACUUCUUUCGUAAUAUGCCCUAGACCCUUUUGCUUAUAGUAAGUUAAAACUUCCAAUUACGGCAUGGGCCAUAAAGUCUACCAUAAUAUUACUUUAAAUCAGUAUAGCAUUUUUGGCACUUAUCAUUUGUGCACCUGUAUUUUUUUCUUUCGUUUUUCCUUAAUAUAGUUCUGCAGGGAUCGGUCCUGAUGGUCAGAAAUUUCCUUUUAUUCCCAAGGGCGUCUAGAAAUUGAAUUUUAAUGGAGGCAUGGGAGUAACAACUGCUUGAGUUAAGGAUUAGAAUUGGUGGGGUCUAAUAAUGGAACAUGGGACUACCAAAAGAGUGGACGACGUAUAUUCUUGCAAAUAGGUUCCGAGGAAAGUUGGUAAAGAUACUAACAAGGACGGAAUGAUCCCCCUCAUGUAAUUAACGGAUAUUGCAGAUACUCACUUUGCUUCGAUACAUCCAUCUGUCCAUGCCACUUCAAUAUGGUAUUUGCUUAUAUCAAAUUUCCGAAUCAUCUUACACCUUUGUCUAAUGAUAAAAUCCUUUUGAAGUUUUUCAAUAGUUGGGUUUUCAAGGCCUCUUCCUUAAUUUUUAGGCGGUCAUUUGGAACUUGGCAUGUUUAUAUUUUUUAAUUGAUCAUUUAUAGGAUAGAUUGCUGCUCCUUUGAAUUGUAUUUCUUUUCCUUUGAGAAGCCGAGUAUCAACCACGUCGAAGGUUGGGAGCCAUACCAAACUCAUAUCUUUCUUCCAAGGAACUAUCUUUAAGCGAGAUCAGUGGCAAAACGGGAAACUCUAUCAUGUGCCGCAAGUAGAAGAGGAGGAGAUGGAGGCCUUGGCUCUCUUCUAUUAGUUCAUCACCAGCGUAAUAUUUGUCCAGCAGAUUGUAUUUCAAAACCAUACUCAUCUUCAAUAUAUUUGCAUUAGCUGCUACAGAAAAUAUAGGGUAUUGUAAUGAUUUAUACAACAGGGAUAUGGCUGCUGCUGACGAUGAAGCAGUACUACAUGGCAUUGGAGAACGUAGGUUGUAAUAUAGUCUUGCCAUUGAUGAUUUCGGCUAUGUUGUUUUUCUUUUGAGAUUUACGAUUCAGUUAUGUGUGCAUCUUUGGCCCAAAAUUGUUUCGGUAAUAGUGUUACUGAUGUAAAGGAUGCUUUUUUGGUUCUUCAAGCGGUGCAGUAGAGCAGAGAUGAGUGUAGACAAGGAAAACUCAAUACAUUUGUCCUUCAGAAAUCCAUUAAUCUUACUUUCAAGAUG